rnacentral:rRNA from 1 species
CCCUAUUAUUUUUAUUGUAAAAUUGUAAGCUGGAGUAUUAAUAGUUAUGGUCUUGAAACUUAAAGAAUUUGGCGGUAUUAUAGUCUAUUUAGAGGAAUCUGUUAUGUAAUCGAUAAUCCACGUUGAACCUUACUUAUAUUAAUUUUUGUAUACCGCUGUUUAAGAAUAUAUUUUUAGGUAAUUUUCUUAAUAUUAAAUUAAUUAAUACUUCAAGUCAAGGUGCAGUAAUAUAUAAGUUGAAUAAUGGAUUACAAUAAAAUUUAUUUAUAUGGAUU